GCAAACUUGGUCAUUUAGAGGAAGUAAAAGUCGUAACAAGGUUUCCGUAGGUGAACCUGCGGAAGGAUCAUUACCGAGUGAGGGUGCCUCUCACGGGCCCGACCUCCCAACCCUGUGUCUAUCACACCUUGUCGUUGCUUCGGCGGACCGGUUGGACCCCAUGUGGGGUCAUGACCGCCGGGGGUGCCUACCUCUGGAGAGCGUCCGCCGAUGGCCCAACCACAACUCUUUGUCCCAAAACCGGUCGUCUAAAGGAUUCUUGAUAUCAAUCAAACACAAAACUUUCAACAACGGAUCUCUUGGUUCUGGCAUCGAUGAAGAACGCAGC
rnacentral:misc_RNA from 1 species